rnacentral:rRNA from 1 species
UCGGAAUGAGUACAGUGGCGCACGGGUGAGUAACGCGUAGGUAACAUGCCUUUUAGUGGGGGAUAACACCGGGAAACCAGUGCUAAUACCGCAUAAGCAAGAAAUUGGAAAGGUGGCUUCGGCUAUCGCUGAAAGAUUGGCCUGCGUAGCAUUAGCUAGUUGGUAGGGUAAUGGCCUACCAAGGCUACGAUGCUUAACUGGUCUGAGAGGAUGAUCAGCCACACUGGAACUGAGACACGGUCCAGACUCC